rnacentral:lncRNA from 1 species
AACCAUCAGCAUGAUGCUGAUGAUGAAAAUAGUAAUGAUGAUCUACUUAUCUUGAUAUUUAUUAGGAAUUUAAAUGAGACAGGCUGUACAUUUAAAGGGAAUCUGCUUUGACUUGAAAAUGAUUGUUAAUUGCCACUAGUUGGAGUCGCAAGUAAUGGUGCUUUGCUAUUGUUUACCCUGCAUAAUUCAGCCCUUACUUAGAACCUUUUAUCAUUUCUUUGUCUGGUUGGAGGAGUUUGGAAUACUAAUUAUUUUGACACAGGGGUUGAUUUAGAUACAUGCCUUGCCUUUAACUCAGGGUUAUUUUGCUUCUGAGUUGUGUCAAACUUAAUAAUAUGGUAGCUUUUUAAGUGCUUUAAUUGUCAGAAUGUACUGCCGCUGUUAUGGGCUGUUUAUAAACACUUAAAUGCAUUUCUGUAAAUCAGUCUAGACCUUAAAUGUUUAUAAUGAACCUAAAACCAAGUGGGAAAAAUAGAAACAUCUUCUGUUUAUUGCUCUGGCCAUGUUUCCCUGGGUUCUUAAAGUUUGGCUUGGGAUUUAAUAGAGCACCCAAGUGGUAGACAGCAUCUGUGUGACAGUUCUUCACUUACCAGAGUCAAGAUAUUCCAGUGUGCUGAGAUUGUAGAAUUUAGUAAAUGUUUUAUUAAUAGACC